rnacentral:rRNA from 1 species
GACGAACGCUGGAGGCGUGCUUAACACAUGCAAGUCGAACGAUGAAGUGGAGCUUGCUCCAUGGAUUAGUGGCGAACGGGUGAGUAACACGUGAAUAACCUGCCCUUAAUUUUGGAAUAACCCAGGGAAACCUGGGCUAAUACCGGAUAAGUAAACCUGUGGCAUCACAUGGUUUUGGAAAGUUUUUCGAUUAAGGAUGGAUUCGCGGCCUAUCAGCUUGUUGGUGAGGUAAUGGCUCACCAAGGCGACGACGGGUAGCCGGCCUGAGAGGGUGAACGGCCACACUGGGACGGAGACACGACCCAGACUCCUACGGGAGGCAGCAGUGGGGAAUAUUGCGCAAUGGACGAAAGUCUGACGCAGCGACGCCUCGUGAGGGACGAAGGUCUUCGGAUUGUAAACCUCUUUCAGCAGGGACGAAGCGAAAGUGACGGUACCUGCAGAAGAAGCACCGGCUAACUAUGUGCCAGCAGCCGCCGUAA